rnacentral:rRNA from 1 species
UGGCGACGGGUGAGUAACACGUGGGCAAUCUGCCCUUCACUCUGGGACAAGCCCUGGAAACGGGGUCUAAUACCGGAUAACACUCUGUCCUGCAUGGGACGGGGUUAAAAGCUCCGGCGGUGAAGGAUGAGCCCGCGGCCUAUCAGCUUGUUGGUGGGGUAAUGGCCUACCAAGGCGACGACGGGUAGCCGGCCUGAGAGGGCGACCGGCCACACUGGGACUGAGACACGGCCCAGACUCCUACGGGAGGCAGCAGUGGGGAAUAUUGCACAAUGGGCGAAAGCCUGAUGCAGCGACGCCGCGUGAGGGAUGACGGCCUUCGGGUUGUAAACCUCUUUCAGCAGGGAAGAAGCGCAAGUGACGGUACCUGCAGAAGAAGCACCGGCUAACUACGUGCCAGCAGCCGCGGUAAUACGUAGGGUGCGAGCGUUGUCCGGAAUUAUUGGGCGUAAAGAGCUCGUAGGCGGCUUGUCACGUCGGAUGUGAAAGCUCGGGGCUUAACUCCGAGUCUGCAUUCGAUACGGGCUAGCUAGAGUGUGGUAGGGGAGAUCGGAAUUCCUGGUGUAGCGGUGAAAUGCGCAGAUAUCAGGAGGAACACCGGUGGCGAAGGCGGAUCUCUGGGCCAUUACUGACGCUGAGGAGCGAAAGCGUGGGGAGCGAACAGGAUUAGAUACCCUGGUAGUCCACGCCGUAAACGUUGGGAACUAGGUGUUGGCGACAUUCCACGUCGUCGGUGCCGCAGCUAACGCAUUAAGUUCCCCGCCUGGGGAGUACGGCCGCAAGGCUAAAACUCAAAGGAAUUGACGGG